rnacentral:rRNA from 1 species
AGCCCGCUCAGAAACUUAAAGGAAGUUGACGGGGGCCCGCGACAAGCGGUGGAGCAUGUGGUUUAAUUCGAUGAUACGCGAGGAACCUUACCUGGGCUCAAAUGUAUGUUGACGUAUUCUGAAAGGGAUACUUCUUCGGACAAUAUACAAGGUGCUGCAUGGUUGUCGUCAGCUCGUGCCGUGAGGUGUCGGGUUAAGUCCCCAUAACGAGCGCAACCCCUAUCAUUUAGUUGCCAUCAGGUCAAGCUGGGGACUCUAAUGAAACUGCCUACGCAAGUAGUGAGGAAGGCGGGGAUGACGUCAAAUCAGCACGGCCCUUACGUCCAGGGCUACACACGUGCUACAAUGGCCGAUACAGAGGGCAGCUACCUGGUGACAGGAUGCAAAUCUCCAAAGUCGGUCUCAGUUCGGAUCGGAGUCUGCAACCCGACUCCGUGAGGUUGGAUUCGCUAGUAAUCGCGCAUCAGCCAUGGCGCGGUGAAUACGUUCCCGGGCCUU